rnacentral:rRNA from 1 species
CUUGCUCUUCGGCGGUUAGCGGCGGACGGGUGAGUAACACGUAGGCAACCUGCCUGUACGACUGGGAUAACUCCGGGAAACCGGAGCUAAUACCGGAUACGUUUUUCAGACCGCAUGGUCUGAAAGAGAAAGACCUUUGGUCACGUACAGAUGGGCCUGCGGCGCAUUAGCUAGUUGGUGGGGUAACGGCCUACCAAGGCGACGAUGCGUAGCCGACCUGAGAGGGUGAUCGGCCACACUGGGACUGAGACACGGCCCAGACUCCUACGGGAGGCAGCAGUAGGGAAUCUUCCGCAAUGGACGAAAGUCUGACGGAGCAACGCCGCGUGAACGAUGAAGGUUUUCGGAUCGUAAAGUUCUGUUGUUAGGGAAGAACCGCCGGGAUGACCUCCCGGUCUGACGGUACCUAACGAGAAAGCCCCGGCUAACUACGUGCCAGCAGCCGCGGUAAUACGUAGGGGGCAAGCGUUGUCCGGAAUUAUUGGGCGUAAAGCGCGCGCAGGCGGCUUCUUAAGUCAGGUGUGAAAGCCCACGGCUCAACCGUGGAGGGCCACUUGAAACUGGGAGGCUUGAGUGCAGGAGAGGAGAGCGGAAUUCCACGUGUAGCGGUGAAAUGCGUAGAGAUGUGGAGGAACACCCGUGGCGAAGGCGGCUCUCUGGCCUGUAACUGACGCUGAGGCGCGAAAGCGUGGGGAGCGAACAGGAUUAGAUACCCUGGUAGUCCACGCCGUAAACGUUGAGUGCUAGGUGUUGGGGACUCCAAUCCUCAGUGCCGCAGCUAACGCAAUAAGCACUCCGCCUGGGGAGUACGGCCGCAGGCUGAAACUCAAGG